rnacentral:rRNA from 1 species
CCGGCGCACGGUGAGUAACGCGUAUGCAACUUGCCUAUCAGAGGGGAUAACCCGGCGAAAGUCGGACUAAUACCGCAUGAAGCAGGGGCCCCGCAUGGGGAUAUUUGCUAAAGAUUCAUCGCUGAUAGAUAGGCAUGCGUUCCAUUAGGCAGUUGGCGGGGUAACGGCCCACCAAACCGACGAUGGAUAGGGGUUCUGAGAGGAAGGUCCCCCACAUUGGUACUGAGACACGGGCCAA